rnacentral:rRNA from 1 species
AGUGAACGCUGGCGGUAGGCCUAACACAUGCAAGUCGAACGGCAGCACAGUAAGAGCUUGCUCUUACGGGUGGCGAGUGGCGGACGGGUGAGGAAUACAUCGGAAUCUACUUUUUCGUGGGGGAUAACGUAGGGAAACUUACGCUAAUACCGCAUACGACCUACGGGUGAAAGCAGGGGAUCUUCGGACCUUGCGCGAUUGAAUGAGCCGAUGUCGGAUUAGCUAGUUGGCGGGGUAAAGGCCCACCAAGGCGACGAUCCGUAGCUGGUCUGAGAGGAUGAUCAGCCACACUGGAACUGAGACCCGGUCCCGACUCCUACGGGAGGCAGCAGUGGGGAAUAUUGGACAAUGGGCGCAAGCCUGAUCCAGCCAUACCGCGUGGGUGAAGAAGGCCUUCGGGUUGUAAAGCCCUUUUGUUGGGAAAGAAAAGCAGCAGGUUAAUACCCCGCUGUUCUGACGGUACCCAAAGAAUAAGCACCGGCUAACUUCGUG